GCUUAAAUGGCUCCCUGACCUGACUUAAAAAUAGGAUGGCAAUACAUCAAACAAGAAGACUAUAAGUAUUGAGAUGGACCAAGUGAAACCUGAGCCUACCAAAGCUGACAGAUUGCGCAAGAAACACAUUGGAAGAUUCAUUUUCUGGAAAGUAGAAAAGGGCUGUUACAUACUGUUAUCACAGCCAUGACAGAAACCAUAUUGAGGAGCUUGUCUGCCUGUAGGAAGAAAUGCGCUACUGGUUGGAGCAGCACUAUUCCCUGGCCAUACACCAGCACUUUGUUUGUCAUAGAGAGCAUUUCUGAGCAGUUAUGGAGACCACUAACUAUGCAGGUGUCACAGUGAAAUUUGCACCAGUUUGUUUUCUGUGGAGACAAAGAGAUAGUGUCCAGCAAUGAAAACCCAACUCAAGAUCUAACCUUGUUAUGCCAAU